rnacentral:lncRNA from 1 species
GAUUUCACAGCAGCUCUUCUCAUUUUAGAGAUAAGAAAACUGAGGUUUUUAGCUAGGAAAACCUGGAAGAGAGAUCAAGGAAGCAUAUGCCUGGGCCGUGGGAGGUUUGAUGAUAACAAAUCCUGCCUUCCCUUUGAUGAGAAAAGGAUCAGCAAAGUGCACGUGGAGAAUGAAAGCAACUCUGAGCCUGGGUUCCGGCAGAAUCUGGUUGACAAAGGACACGAAGGGACUUGUGAACCUCUUGUAUAAGUCCAGAUUCUUGGGUGCAAGUGGCAGAAAUCAAACUCAAGCUAGCUUAAACUGAAACAGAAGACGCACAAGUGAUGGUCGUUUGAAAAUUCUUCAAAACCUCGUAGACCAGGGGUUUCUCGAGAAGAGCCUUGAUGAAGUGUGCAUUUUGGCAUCAUUUGUAUGAGUAGCAGGAAGCAUGGGGUAUGGCAGGUUACCAACUGGUCUUUGAGUGAGGAAACCAGAGCGGGUCUGGACCCCAGAGCAGGACCAUUUGCUUUGGUCUCUGGCCAGGCCAACUGAGGGAUCAUAAUCAGGGCUGCAGGCCACUCUGAGGACAGCAGGGCACUGCAGAGAGAAGUCUGGCCUGGUUAGCACAUGAACAGAUGUGAACGAAGGAGAGUGCAGUUCCAGAGGAGUGCCGUGCCGGGGGCUCUCAAGGCUGAUGGAGAAAGCAUCGGGGACGGCCUCUCCUCUCUUGGGAGAGUAAACGUUUUAAACAGUGCCGAAGAAAGAAAAGAUUGCUACAUGGCAGCAACGGCC